AACGAACGCUGGCGGCAUGCCUAACACAUGCAAGUCGAACGAGACCUUCGAGUCUAGUGGCGCACGGGUGCGUAACGCGUGGGAACCUGCCCUUAGGUUCGGAAUAACUCCCCGAAAGGGGUGCUAAUACCGGAUAAUGUCUUCGGACCAAAGAUUUAUCGCCUUUGGAUGGGCCCGCGUUGGAUUAGCUAGUUGGUAGGGUAAAAGCCUACCAAGGCGACGAUCCAUAGCUGGUCUGAGAGGAUGAUCAACCACACUGGGACUGAGACACGGCCCAGACUCCUACGGGAGGCAGCAGUGGGGAAUAUUGGACAAUGGGCGAAAGCCUGAUCCAGCAAUGCCGCGUGAGUGAUGAAGGCCUUAGGGUUGUAAAGCUCUUUUACCCGGGAUGAUAAUGACAGUACCGGGAGAAUAAGCUCCGGCUAACUCCGUG
rnacentral:rRNA from 1 species